UAAAAUCAAAACGGACUUGUGGAAUAUGAAGAACGUUUGCAUGGUUGGAAUACUUCAAGAAAUCUUGUAAGCAACAGUUUCUACAAAGUAAUGACUACACACUAGUCAAGGAGAGAGUAGAUAUGAAGCUGAUGCCAUAGAGAGACAACCUAAUGUCGAUAUUCUCCAAUGGUUUUGUAUCUUUUUAGUGUGAAUUACGGUAGAAAAAUAGAGAGCUAUGAGAAAAUCAAUGACAAUGAGGAAGGUUCCGUCUCGAGAGUUUAAAUAGAUAAGUUGUUGAAAUUUGUGGUGGAUUUUAUCUCCUUUUGAUAAAUUCUCAAGUGCUCUUUUGAGGGUCAUGCAUGAUGAUUACUUUCAUAAUUGUUUUGUAAUUUCUAUUAACAAGAAUUAUUCCAAACACUUCAAUUACCUUCCAGUAUCCAUGCAAUGAAACUAGAGUAUUAAAGAGAAUUUUUUGCUCUCUUCUUUCGAAUAAGAGAAGAACCAUGUAUCUAAAGUAGCCAACUAAACAAAUUUGAAAAUCACUAAUAGCAACUUUUUAUUUAACAAACUAAA